AUCUACGGCCUUUCCAUCCUAAAUGUGCCCAAUCUUGUCUGAUCUCGGAAGCUAAGCAGGGUCGGGACUGGUUAGUACUUGGAUGAGAGACCACGUAGGAAGACCAGGUGCUGUAGGCA
rnacentral:rRNA from 1 species